rnacentral:tRNA from 3 species
GGCCCUAUCGUCUAGUGGUUAGGACGCAUGGUUCUCAACCAUGUAACACGGGUUCGAUUCCCGUUAGGGCUGCCA